rnacentral:rRNA from 1 species
GAUGAACGCUGGCGGCGUGCCUAAUACAUGCAAGUCGAGCGAACAGACGAGGAGCUUGCUCCUCUGACGUUAGCGGCAGACGGGUGAGUAACACGUGGAUAACCUACCUAUAAGACUGGGAUAACUUCGGGAAACCGGAGCUAAUACCGGAUAAUAUAUUGAACCGCAUGGUUCAAUAGUGAAAGACGGUUUUGCUGUCACUUAUAGAUGGAUCCGCGCCGCAUUGGCUAGUUGGUAAGGUAACGGCUUACCAAGGCAACGAUGCGUAGCCGACCUGAGAGGGUGAUCGGCCACACUGGAACUGAGACACGGUCCAGACUCCUACGGGAGGCAGCAGUAGGGAAUCUUCCGCAAUGGGCGAAAGCUUGACGGAGCAACGCCGCGUGAGUGAUGAAGGUCUUCGGAUCGUAAAACUCUGUUAUUAGGGAAGAACAAAUGUGUAAGUAACUAUGCACGUCUUGACGGUACCUAAUCAGAAAGCCACGGCUAACUACGUG